UACAGAGGGUGCAAGCGUUGUUCGGAAUUAUUGGGCGUAAAGAGCGUGUAGGCGGUCAGGUAGGUCCGUUGUGAAAACUCGAGGCUCAACCUCGAGACGCCGAUGGAAACCAUCUGACUAGAGUCCGGAAGAGGAGAGUGGAAUUCCUGGUGUAGCGGUGAAAUGCGCAGAUAUCAGGAAGAACACCCGUGGCUAAGGCGGCUCUCUAGUACGGUACUGACGCUGAGACGCGAAAGCGUGGGGAGCGAACAGG
rnacentral:rRNA from 1 species